AGCUCCAAUAGUGUAUAUUAAAGUUGCUGCAGUUAAAAAGCUCGUAGUCGGAAUUUGGCUUGGGGGAUAUGGACCCUCCGUAUGGAGCGUGUCCACAAUAUCUCUCGGCCAGCUUUUUUGGGGAUUCGCCGGCUGGCUCUUUACUGAGUUGGCCGGAUUGACCCCAAACUGUUACCUUGAAAAAAUUAGAGUGUUCAAAGCAGGCAUUAUUAGCCCGAAUAGAUUAGCAUGGAAUGAUGAAAUAUGACCGGAGUCUUGUUUUGUUGGUUUUACGGGGCUCCGGUAAUGAUUAAUAGGAACAGUUGGGGGCAUUUGAAUUGAGUGGUUAGAGGUGAAAUUCUUGGAUCCAUUCAAGUCAAACUACUGCGAAAGCAUUUGCCCAGCAUGUUUCCA
rnacentral:rRNA from 1 species